GCUGGGCAUGGUAGCGUGUGCCUGUAGUCCCAGCUACUUGGGAGGCUGAGGCAGAAGAAUCACUUGAACUCAGGAGGUGGAGGUUGCAGUGAGCCUAGAUCAUGCCACUGCACUCCAGCCUGGGUGACAGAGUGAGACUCCGUCUCAA
rfam:Pan troglodytes isolate Yerkes chimp pedigree #C0471 (Clint) chromosome 16, whole genome shotgun sequence.